rnacentral:rRNA from 1 species
GAUGAACGCUGGCGGCGUGCCUAAUACAUGCAAGUCGAGCGAACGGACGAGAAGCUUGCUUCUCUGAUGUUAGCGGCGGACGGGUGAGUAACACGUGGAUAACCUACCUAUAGGACUGGGAUAACUUCGGGAAACCGGAGCUAAUACCGGAUAAUAUUUUGAACCGCAUGGUUCAAAAGUGAAAGACGGUCUUGCUGUCACUUAUAGAUGGAUCCGCGCUGCAUUAGCUAGUUGGUAAGGUAACGGCUUACCAAGGCAACGAUGCAUAGCCGACCUGAGAGGGUGAUCGGCCACACUGGAACUGAGACACGGUCCAGACUCCUACGGGAGGCAGCAGUAGGGAAUCUUCCGCAAUGGGCGAAAGCCUGACGGGGCAACGCCGCGUGAGUGAUGAAGGUCUUCGGAUCGUAAAACUCUGUUAUUAGGGAAGAACAUAUGUGUAAGUAACUGUGCACAUCUUGACGGUACCUAAUCAGAAAGCCACGGCUAACUACGUG